AGCUCCAAUUGCGUAUAUUAAAGUUGUUGCGGUCAAAAAGCUCGUAGUUGAAGUUCUGCCGAGGAAAUUGGUUCGCCCUCUGGGUGAGUAUCUAGCUCUGCCUGGGGAUCUUCUUGAAGAACGUAGCUGCACUUGACUGCGUGGUGCGGUAUACAGGACUUUUACUUCAGCAUGGAAUAGAUAGGACCUCGGUUCUAUUUUGUUGGUUUCUAGAGCUGAGGUAAUGAUUAAUAGGGAUAGUUGGGGGCAUUCGUAUUUAACUGUCAGAGGUGAAAUUCUUGGAUUUGUCAAAGACGGACUACUGCGAAAGCAUUUGCCAAGGAUGUUUUCAUUGAUCAAGAACGAAAGU
rnacentral:rRNA from 1 species